ACGCUGGCGGCGUGCCUAAUACAUGCAAGUCGAGUGAAGUUUUUCUGGUGCUUGCACUAGAAAAACUUAGCGGCGAACGGGUGAGUAACACGUAAGGAACCUGCCUCAUAGACUGGGACAACUAUUGGAAACGAUAGCUAAUACCGGAUAACAGCAUUAACUGCAUGGUUGAUGUUUAAAAGUUGGUUUUGCUAACACUGUGAGAUGGCUUUGCGGUGCAUUAGCUAGUUGGUGGGGUAAAGGCCUACCAAGGCGACGAUGCAUAGCCGACCUGAGAGGGUGAUCGGCCACACUGGGACUGAGACACGGCCCAGACUCCUACGGGAGGCAGCAGUAGGGAAUCUUCCGCAAUGGGCGAAAGCCUGACGGAGCAACGCCGCGUGAGUGAAGAAGGAUUUCGGUUCGUAAAGCCCUGUUGUUAGGGAAGAAUGAUUGUGUAGUAACUAUACACAGUAGAGACGGUACCUAACCAGAAAGCCACGGCUAACUACGUGCCAGCAGCCGCGGUAAUACGUAGGUGGCAAGCGUUGUCCGGAAUUAUUGGGCGUAAAGCGCGCGCAGGUGGUUUAAUAAGUCUGAUGUGAAAGCCCACGGCUCAACCGUGGAGGGUCAUUGGAAACUGUUAAACUUGAGUGCAGGAGAGAAAAGUGGAAUUCCUAGUGUAGCGGUGAAAUGCGUAGAGAUUAGGAGGAACACCAGUGGCGAAGGCGGCUUUUUGGCCUGUAACUGACACUGAGGCGCGAAAGCGUGGGGAGCAAACAGGAUUAGAUACCCUGGUAGUCCACGCCGUAAACGAUGAGUGCUAAGUGUUGGUCUCAUAAGAGAUCAGUGCUGCAGCUAACGCAUUAAGCACUCCGCCUGGGGAGUACGACCGCAAGGUUGAAACUCAAAGGAAUUGACGGGGACCCGC
rnacentral:rRNA from 1 species